AAAACCAUUUACUUCAUUUGCAAAUUUUAUUUGAAAAUUAUUAUAUUUUUUAGUUAUUAAAAUAUAUAUCUAUGAGUCGAGUUUGUGUUUAAUCUAGUUGCGCCCCUAGUUAGAUAUAUCACUUUAAAUUAUAAAUUAUGCCUUUAAAAAAAAUAUAGAUUUAUAUUAUCUAAUACUCUGAUUUAAGAUGGGACCACGAUUACAUUUUAUUUUACAUAUUAGACCUUAAUUAUAUUUUUAUUCUUAUUUUCUUGAUAUUGGACUAAUGAUAUAGUAAAAUCCCAUGACAUUUUUUAGUAAAUUGUGAGCAUUAAUUUCUUUCCUUUACUAAUUCCUUGAGAUAAAAAUUACGUGCCUUUCUUUUCAGCCACAUUUUUAUGUUUAUUCCUCAGCCACAUUUCUUUAAUUCUUGGGGAGCACGCAUCAUUUUAAUUUAAUAGUCUUGUGCAUCAUGAAAUUCAUUCAAUUUAAAGUUUAUCUACCAGUUUCCACCGCCUCAUUUUUAUCAUGUUUACUUCUUUCCAUUUUCUGAAAAGAUUUCAAAACCUUUCAAAACCGUAAAUUCAACCAUUGAUGUUUCCUCUCACCACAUAUCUCAUUCUGCUACUCUCAUUCAGCUGGUGCGGCGCGACUAGGACGUAUAUUUUGUUUGAAUUACUCAGAAUUAGCUUUCAAGUUGAAGUUCAAAUUCAGGUGUGGGAUUUAUUUCAGUACAUGCUGUGGUUAAUCUUUGUCCAUUUUAAUAUUAUGUGUUUACCAUAUGUGAGUUGCAUUAAAUUAUAUCGCUAGGGGCCCGCUCAAUGGGUCCAGGACUUCACAGUCCUUGGUAUGCCACAAUGCGAUUUCAUGUUAAAGUUAUGGUUGCAACCAGUCGCCAGGGGCCGGCUCAAUCGGUCCAGGACAGAAAGGUCCUUGGUAUGCCACCGUGCGACUUUCAGUUACGAAUGUAUUGAUCAUAUGUGAUUCUCAUUUUAUUAACGUGGACAAUGAUUGCAUGUUCCCACACUGAGUGUACCCUGUAUGCUCAUCCCAUACUUAACAUUUUCAGGUUUUUAAAGGCCGAAGGCGCGUGGAAGGUCGAAUGGCGAAUCAAAUGUUUUGAAUUUAGCAUUACUUAAAAAUGUUAUUUUGAGUAAAGUAUUUUAAAUAAAAUGUUUCUUUUCUUAUUUUCACAUUAAAUAUUUAUUUAUAUUCAUAGUUUUUC